AUAGCGCCCGCGACAGCGGUCCGGACGCCGCCCGAACAUGGACUCCGCCGGCCAAGAUAUCAACCUGAAUUCUCCUAACAAAGGUCUGCUGUCUGACUCCAUGACGGAUGUUCCUGUCGACACAGGUGUGGCUGCCCGGACUCCUGCUGUUGAGGGUCUGACAGAGGCUGAGGAGGAGGAGCUCAGGGCUGAGCUUACCAAGGUGGAAGAGGAAAUUGUCACUCUGCGCCAGGUCCUGGCAGCCAAGGAGAGGCACUGUGGAGAGCUCAAGAGGAGGCUGGGCCUCUCCACCCUGGGGGAGCUGAAACAGAACCUGUCCAGGAGCUGGCAUGACGUGCAGGUCUCUAGCGCCUACAAGAAGACUCAGGAAACUCUUUCACAGGCAGGACAGAAGACUUCAGCUGCCCUGUCCACAGUGGGCUCUGCCAUCAGCAGGAAGCUUGGAGACAUGAGAAUAGCCUAACAUGGCAGACCAGAGACAGCGCUCACUGUCUACCUCUGGGGAGUCAUUGUACCACGUCCUUGGGUUGGACAAGAACGCAACCUCAGAUGACAUUAAAAAGUCCUAUCG
rnacentral:lncRNA from 1 species